rnacentral:rRNA from 1 species
GCGGUAGCAGGGAGAAAGCUUGCUUUCUCCGCUGACGAGCGGCGGACGGGUGAGUAAUGUCUGGGGAUCUGCCUGAUGGAGGGGGAUAACUACUGGAAACGGUAGCUAAUACCGCAUAACGUCGCAAGACCAAAGUGGGGGACCUUCGGGCCUCAUGCCAUCAGAUGAACCCAGAUGGGAUUAGCUAGUAGGUGGGGUAAUGGCUCACCUAGGCGACGAUCCCUAGCUGGUCUGAGAGGAUGACCAGCCACACUGGAACUGAGACACGGUCCAGACUCCUACGGGAGGCAGCAGUGGGGAAUAUUGCACAAUGGGCGCAAGCCUGAUGCAGCCAUGCCGCGUGUAUGAAGAAGGCCUUCGGGUUGUAAAGUACUUUCAGUAGGGAGGAAGGUGUGAGCGUUAAUAGCGUUCACAAUUGACGUUA